UCGAUUCCCUACGGGGUGCAGCAGGCGCGCAAACUUUACAAUGCGAGCAAUCGUGAUAAGGAAACCCUGAGUGCCUGUCGAUGCAGGCUGUUCAUAUAUCUAAAUCAUAUGUGAAGAAAGGGCAGGGCAAGACCGGUGCCAGCCGCCGCGGUAAUACCGGCUGCUCGAGUGAUGGCCACUAUUACUGGGUUUAAAGCGUCCGUAGCUUGACUGUUAGGUCUCUUGGGAAAUCUUCACGCUCAACGUGAAGGCGUCUAAGAGAUACCGGCAGUCUUGGAACUGGGAGAGGUAAACCGUACUUCGGGGGUAGGAGUGAAAUCUUGUAAUCCUCGAGGGACGACCUAUGGCGAAGGCAGUUUACCAGAACAGCUUCGACAGUGAGGGACGAAAGCUGGGGGAGCAAACGGGAUUAGAUACCCCGGUAGUCCCAGCCGUAAACAAUGUGCGUUAGGUGUGUCGGUAACCACGUGUUACUGAUGCGCCGAAGAGAAAUCGUGAAACGCACCACCUGGGAAGUACGGUCGCAAGGCUGAAACUUAAAGGAAUUGGCGGGGGAGCACCACAACAGGUGGAGCCUGCGGUUUAAUUGGAUUCAACGCCGGACAUCUCACCGGUUAAGACAGCUGAAUGAUUGUCAAUCUGAAGGUUUUACAUGACUAGCUGAGAGGA
rnacentral:rRNA from 1 species